UACUUUUUGAGGGGCAAAUUCGUCUGCACAGCCUUAGUGGGAAGAGUUUCAUCUGUAAUCAGUGACAAGACUCAAAGAACCGGCAAAAGACGAAGAUUAGCUGUGAAGAAUCGAUCAUCGAUGGCAGGGAAAUGGGUGAAAAGGCAAAGGGAUGAAUUCAUUGAUCCGUACACAUUAUACGUUCCUGAUAUACCUGCAUUUUCGAUUAAACUCCACC